GAUCAUGAUUCACUGUAGCCUUGGACCUCCUGGGCUCACACAAUCCUCCCAGCUCAGCCCACUGAGUAGCUAGGACUACAGAGUGCUUGGAAGAAAA